rnacentral:rRNA from 1 species
UGGGGAAUAUUGGACAAUGGGCGAAAGCCUGAUCCAGCCAUGCCGCGUGAGUGAUGAAGGCCCUAGGGUUGUAAAGCUCUUUUGUGCGGGAAGAUAAUGACGGUACCGCAAGAAUAAGCCCCGGCUAACUUCGUGCCAGCAGACGCGGUAAUACGAAGGGGGCUAGCGUUGCUCGGAAUCACUGGGCGUAAAGGGUGCGUAGGCGGGUUUCUAAGUCAGAGGUGAAAGCCUGGAGCUCAACUCCAGAACUGCCUUUGAUACUGGAAGUCUUGAGUUCGGGAGAGGUCAGUGGAACUGCGAGUGUAGAGGUGAAAUUCGUAGAUAUUCGCAAGAACACCAGUGGCGAAGGCGGCUCACUGGCCCGAUACUGACGCUGAGGCACGAAAGCGUGGGGAGCAAACA